rnacentral:rRNA from 1 species
AGUGGCGGACGGGUGAGUAACGCGUGAGAAUCUGCCUUGGGGUCGGGGACAACCACUGGAAACGGUGGCUAAUACCGGAUAAGCCGAUUGGUGAAAGAUUUAUUGCCCGAAGAGGAGCUCGCGUCUGAUUAGCUAGUUGGUGAGGUAAGAGCUCACCAAGGCAGCGAUCAGUAGCUGGUCUGAGAGGACGAUCAGCCACACUGGGACUGAGACACGGCCCAGACUCCUACGGGAGGCAGCAGUGGGGAAUUUUCCGCAAUGGGCGAAAGCCUGACGGAGCAAGACCGCGUGAGGGAGGAAGGCUCUUGGGUUGUAAACCUCUUUUCUCAGGGAAGAAGCUCUGACGGUACCUGAGGAAUCAGCCUCGGCUAACUCCGUGCCAGCAGCCGCGGUAAUACGGAGGAGGCAAGCGUUAUCCGGAAUUAUUGGGCGUAAAGCGUCCGCAGGUGGCGAUUCAAGUCUGCUGUCAAAGCACGGGGCUUAACUCCGUAAAGGCAGUGGAAACUGAAUAGCUAGAGUGCCGUAGGGUAGAGGGAAUUCCCGGUGUAGCGGUGAAAUGCGUAGAGAUCGGGAAGAACAUCGGUGGCGAAAGCGCUCUACUGGACGGCAACUGACACUCAGGGACGAAAGCUAGGGGAGCGAAUGGGAUUAGAUACCCC